UGGCUCACCCUAAGGGCUAAAGCAGUAUUUCACAAAAAAGACCCACUUCAGAGCCAUUUUGCUAAGAUUUCAUGUUAGCCUUUAACGUUUAAUUUGGAAGUAAUCUUAGCAAAUAGGCACGACUGAUUAAAAUUAGAAAAUUUAAGGGUAAAUUUUAAAAGUUGAGGAAACAGGGACCGAAAUGAAGUUACUCUCAAACCUCAAACGGAAUAAAUUGAAUUUAGUCGUUUCUAUAUUUUGUUAUGAUGAAUAGGUUAUGUGCAACCUGUCACAUCCCGACCCUUAUAUUUUUACCUUAUUUACUAGCGUGAUUAUAAUAAGAAUUUUACCGUCUCGAUCAUUGAGUAAAUAGUUUAAUUGGUCCCUAGAGGGGUUUCGGGGACGAUUAUGUGCGGAGGAUUAUUCGUAUGAGGAAAAUACAACGACGGUAAAAAUAGUAAAUUUUAGCUAGAAAAAGGUAAUUUUUAUUCGGGUAUUAUUUUUCGGGGUGUUUUUAUUUUGGAAGUUUGGGUUAUAAAUGGUGUGGACCGGUUUGGGGUGUGAGGCCCAAACCCUUUUUCUUUUCUCUCUCCCUCCCUCCCGAUUUUUUCUUCUCCUCCCACCCGAUUUUCUUCUCUCUACACCCACCGGUAUUCCGGCCGUCCUCCCGCCGCCGUCCGACCUCCGUUCGCCACCGGACCGGUCCCGUUCGGUCGGUCUCCCUCCCAGCAACAUUUCUAGACCGGUGAGAGGAGCCCUAGCGCCGCCGUGAAGGAGCGGUGCCACCCGUAAGAUCCGACUGUCCAAACNNNNNNNNNNNNNNNNNNNNAAUUGCCCAGUCUGCAGAGUUCGGGUUGGAUCUAGUAGGAGACGAGGCAUAGUCACCCGCUUUUCGGCCAGUUUUCAUCAGUAGGUUACCUGUUCAACCUACUUGUGUUUUCUUGCUUCCGCUUGUGUUUAGUAGCUCUGAAUACUUUAGAAUGUUUGUAUUUUAUGCGAUGUUCAGAAGUGAUAAAUUAAGAGUGUAAUUUGAAAUUUUCGAGUUAGGGUUGUCCAUCUGCAAGGGAGAUUUUCUUAAUCUUUUCAGUAAAUUUUCCUUGGAGGUGGUCCCCGCACGACUUACUCUGGGUUUCAGGGUGAAAUUCGGGGUGGGACGUGUCACAACCUCUCUUCUUGUUUAAAUGAGAUGCCGCUAAGGAUAGUCAUACAAAUUGAGGAAGUUUGGAUAAGAGAAAUUAAAUACGUGAAAGUGCAAAAUACACAAUAUAUGUAUAACACGACACAAGCAUUAAAAUAAGUAUUAGAAUUUACUCAAUUUAGUUUGAGGGUUUAUUGGCUUGUUCCAUAUAAGGUCAUCACAAUUUUAAAACAGCUCCCUAGCGAGUGGUGGGAGGUCUUCCAGGAAACACAGCUCAAAUAGCUCACCAAACAAAAGCCCAACAUCGUCGUCAUGGUUCCUAGGCCUCCAUUGCCGGAGAGGAAUGUCUCAGCCUUUGUGAUGGUGUUACCGAUAAAGGCCGCCCAGGGGCCAUUCGACCACAUUUGGAGACGUUUGUUAAGAAAUAUGUAAAACCACAUCUCUACAGUAGGAUGUCUAAACCUAAACCUGACAUGCUUCUCUCACUCGAGUCGGUUGGAUCCACCACCGUACCACAACUCCUUAUGAUUUGUCGUCGUGGAUGAACCCACAUUCCACGACGUCCUCUACAUCCUCCAAUAUGCCUUCUCCUUCAAUGAGGCAUGUCGCUUUCGCCCUCAGACCCCUACUCGACCCGGAUGCAAAUGGGUACACCAUAUGAAUCAACAUAUUAAGAAAAGAGGGAAUGAACCAUGAGGAAACAUUGAGAAAGGGUGUUAUAAAACAAAAUAAAAGAAAUUUGGGGAAAAAUAGAUAAAAGAAAGUGGAGGAUAUAUAUUAAUAAAGUAGUUGUUUGUAUUCUAAAUGUAAGAUUACUCAUAGAGAAAUUUUAUUCACACAUUGCUAAAUACUAAAUACACAUCUCUUACUUAAUACACGGGAGUCCUUCUAGUGAUGACCCUUAAGUUGAGAACUUGUUGAGGACUUUUCAGUUUAUGGUUUAAAAGACAUAUUUUUCGAUCACAUCUUAUCAUCUCAUCCGUUUAGUUUUUAGGUCUAUAUGUGUAGAUCAACCCUACAAAUUUUCAGCCAAAUUUGUCACAUCCCGACCCUUAUAUUUUUACCUUAUUUACUAGCCUGAUUAUAAUAAAAAUUUUACCGUCUCGAUCAUUGAGUAAAUAGUUUAAUUGGUCCCUAGAGGGGUUUCGGGGACGAUUAUGUGCGGAGGAUUAUUAGUAUGAGGAAAAUACGACGACGGUAAAAAUGGUAAAUUUUAGCUAGUAAAAGGUAAUUUUUUAUUCGGUAUAUUUUUCGGGUGUUUAUUUUUUGGUAGUGGGUUGAUAUAGGUUGGACCGGGUUGGGUAGGGGCCCCGAAACCCCCGAACUUUUCUUUUUUCCCUUCCUUCCCCCUUUUCCUCUUUUUUCCCCUCCUUUUUCUUUUUUCCCUUCUUCUCCCCGAGCCUCCCGCUGCCCGGUUUUCCGGCUGUCCUCCCGCCGCCGUCCGACCUCCGUUCGCCGCCGGACCGGUCCCGUUCGGUCGGUCUCCCUCCCAGCAACAUUUCUAGACCGGUGAGAGGAACCCUAGCGCCGCCGUGAGAGAGCGGUGCCGCCCGAAAGCAAGGGCUGUCCCGAACUUCCCUUCGCCGGAACUUCCUCCUCCGGCCACCAAUCCGGGCAAGCUUGGUACGGUUUUGUAGCCCUCCUCCCGUGCAACAACCCCUCCAAACAGCUCCCUCCCUCUUGAGCUAGGUAAGGAGAAAUUUGAGGUGGAAGUUUUAUGGUGUUUAAGUUGUUUUCGUUCGAUUAGCCUAGUUAGGCUUGGAAUUGGGUGAUGUGUUAGUCAUGAAAGUUGUAGAGGAGAUUGAGAGGAAGAUUCUGUUAAAAUUUGGUAGCAUUUGCAGGUCGUCGGAAAACGGCUGCUGGCCGCCGGUUAGGAGAUUUUUAGGGUUUUAAAUGUGGAAUAUUAAGAGGAGUAUAUUGGUGUGAUUUAUGGAAUUUUUGGAUGAGAUUUGGAUAGGUUUGUGAUUUUCCGAAGUUUGGUAUUUUUGGCGGUUAAUUAAUGUAGAAUCCGGCCGUAGGAUUUAAGUCGUAUUUUGAGGAGGUUAUAUUUACGACUGUGAAGUAUGAUAUUUAAGUUCGGAUCGUCCGAUGUAAGAAUAUCGAAGUUAGACAAUAAUGAGCGUAAUUAUGGCUCUCGGGUAAUUUUGCCUAUUUUGAUUAAAUAUUGGAUUAUUGGUUGGGAAAUUAAUAUUUUAUUUGGAACAGGACGUGAGGAGGCUCGAGCAGACGAGACCCCAGAUCGACAUCAGGCUUAGGCCUAAUUUGUGAGUGGACGUUUAUUUUAAAUAAAUGCAUGCUAAAGUUCACGAUUGAAUAAUUAAUGUCGUGGAGUAUUUUGACGUCAUUUUAAUUUUUGACGAUUUUUAUUUCUCUUGGAGAGAUACCGAAAAUAGGAUUUUCGGUGGAUAUAAAUAUGUAUUUAUGAGAGAGUAUGUAUAGAAAAUGCUAGCUAGCCAUAUGUGUCUGUCCACCUUAAUGGCGUAGCAUAUAGCCGCAUUAUGGUGUGACGUGAGCGUUGGACGUAAGCGUAGUAGCCCUAUUUGAGUGUUUAAUUCAUAUAGGGGGUAUGGACACAUAUNNNNN
rnacentral:lncRNA from 1 species